rnacentral:rRNA from 1 species
UCGAGGAUCUUCGGCAAUGGGCGCAAGCCUGACCGAGCGACGCCGCGUGUGCGACGAAGGCCUUCGGGUUGUAAAGCACUGUCGAGGGGGAGGAAAGCCCGCAAGGGCCUGACCUAUCCCUGGAGGAAGCACGGGCUAAGUUCGUGCCAGCAGCCGCGGUAAGACGAACCGUGCGAACGUUGUUCGGAAUCACUGGGCUUAAAGGGCGCGUAGGCGGGCGGCCCAGUCCGGGGUGAAACCUUUCGGCUUAACCGGAAGACGGCCCCGGAUACUGGUCGCCUGGAGGGGGGUAGGGGCCGUCGGAACUUCCGGUGGAGCGGUGAAAUGCGUAGAUAUCGGAAGGAACGCCGGUGGCGAAAGCGGACGGCUGGACCCCUUCUGACGCUGAGGCGCGAAAGCCAGGGGAGCGAACGG